GACGAACGCUGGCGGCGUGCCUAAUACAUGCAAGUAGAACGCUGAAGAGAGGAGCUUGCUCUUCUUGGAUGAGUUGCGAACGGGUGAGUAACGCGUAGGUAACCUGCCUUGUAGCGGGGGAUAACUAUUGGAAACGAUAGCUAAUACCGCAUAACAAUGGAUGACACAUGUCAUUUAUUUGAAAGGGGCAAUUGCUCCACUACAAGAUGGACCUGCGUUGUAUUAGCUAGUAGGUGAGGUAACGGCUCACCUAGGCGACGAUACAUAGCCGACCUGAGAGGGUGAUCGGCCACACUGGGACUGAGACACGGCCCAGACUCCUACGGGAGGCAGCAGUAGGGAAUCUUCGGCAAGGGGGGCAACCCUGACCGAGCAACGCCGCGUGAGUGAAGAAGGGUGUCGGAUCGUAAAGCUCUGUUGUAAGUCAAGAACGAGUGUGAGAGUGGAAAGUUCACACUGUGACGGUAGCUUACCAGAAAGGGACGGCUAACUACGUG
rnacentral:rRNA from 1 species